rnacentral:tRNA from 2 species
UGGGGUGUAGCUCAGAGGUAGAGCACAUGCCUAGCAUGUGUGAGGCCCUGUGUUUGAUCCCCAGCAUCACAU